GCCUAUAGUGGUCCUUUAAAUGGAGGGAGUAAGAGGGACCAUAUUUCCACAUCCUGAUUAAUUAGAGGUCUGAGGGAACACUGUUUGUUUCUCAAAGUUUGUCCACCGAAGUUACUCCACCAUGCUGCGUGAAGGUCGCCGUGAUCAAUAUUUUUACUUCAAAUGAGGCAGCCUUUUUUGCAUAAUUGAGGCUGCCUCUUAAACAAUAUAACAAACAAUUAUUGCGAAAGGAAAUACCUUUCUUUUCCCCAUUCUGGCACACCAUACUUUUAUUUUUAGAACUACACUUCCUUUUCUUGGAAAGUCAUGCAACACUAUCAUGUUAACAUGUACUGACUGAUAUUGCUAUAGAAUUUGAUUCAAAAGGUGCAAAGUCCUUUGGUUUGUGUAACUUUGGAAUUUAAAGGACUUUUCCCCCCUCAAAUCAAGAACACUCUGGGCACUAUAACAACUUAAUCAAAAUAACAUUUUUAUGGUGCCAGGAGCUCCCUGGUGCUGGCUCCCAUUUAGGACUUAAACAGUUUGCUAACAAUUUAACCCCAAAGUUUGUGUUUCGGUGCAGUAUCUCCCUGCCUCUCUACCCUUCCAUUUUCUUAAAUUAGUUAAACCAGAA